CACGAAGUUAGCCGGGGCUUCUUCUCACGCUACCGUCAUCAUCGUCGCGUGCGAAAGAGUUUUACAACCCGAAGGCCUUCAUCACUCACGCGGCAUUGCUGGAUCAGGCUUGCGCCCAUUGUCCAAUAUUCCCCACUGCUGCCUCCCGUAGGAGUCUGGGCCGUGUCUCAGUCCCAGUGUGGCUGAUCAUCCUCUCAGACCAGCUAAGGAUCGUUGCCUUGGUAGGCCGUUACCCCACCAACAAGCUAAUCCUACGCGGGCCCAUCCCAUGGCGAUAAAUCUUUGUCCCUCAAGACACAUACGGUAUUAGCUCCAGUUUCCCGGAGUUAUUCCGUACCACAGGGCAGGUUCCCACGCGUUACUCACCCGUGCGCCACGUAGGGCCGAAGCCCUCGUUCGACUUGCUAUGUGUUAGGCAUCGCCGCCAGUCGUUCGUUCUUGAGCCAGGAUCAAACUCU
rnacentral:rRNA from 1 species